rnacentral:rRNA from 1 species
UACGUAGGGGGCAAGCGUUGUUCGGAAUUACUGGGCGUAAAGGGCGCGUAGGCGGCACAGCAAGUCGGGAGUGAAAGCCCGGGGCUCAACCCCGGACAGGCACUUGAAACUGGGAAUCUUGAAUAGGGGAGAGGUCAGUGGAAUUGGAGGUGUAGCGGUGGAAUGCGUAGAGAUCUCCAAGAACACCAGUUGCGAAGGCGGCUGACUGGACCCAUAUUGACGCUGAGGCUCGAAAGCAUGGGGAGCAAACAGG